UUAGCCGUGGCCUCCUCUGAGGGUACCGUCAAUUCUUCGUCCCUUCUGACAGAGGUUUACAACCCAAGGCCGUCAUCCCUCACGCGGCAUCGCACCGUCAGGCUUUCGCCCAUUGCGGAUGAUUCUC
rnacentral:rRNA from 1 species